rnacentral:rRNA from 1 species
AUUGAACGCUGGCGGCAUGCUUUACACAUGCAAGUCGAACGGUAACAGGGUGCUUGCACCGCUGACGAGUGGCGAACGGGUGAGUAAUGCGUCGGAACGUGCCGAGUAGUGGGGGAUAACGCAUCGAAAGGUGUGCUAAUACCGCAUACGAACUGAGGUUGAAAGUGGGGGACCUUCGGGCCUCACGCUAUUCGAGCGGCCGACGUCUGAUUAGCUAGUUGGUGAGGUAAAGGCUCACCAAGGCGACGAUCAGUAGCGGGUCUGAGAGGAUGAUCCGCCACACUGGGACUGAGACACGGCCCAGACCCCUACGGGAGGCAGCAGUGGGGAAUUUUGGACAAUGGGCGCAAGCCUGAUCCAGCCAUGCCGCGUGUCUGAAGAAGGCCUUCGGGUUGUAAAGGACUUUUGUCCGGGAGCAAAUGCUGGUGGCUAACAUCCACCGGAGCUGAGAGUACCGGAAGAAUAAGCACCGGCUAACUACGUGCCAGCCGCCGCGGUAAGAC